rnacentral:rRNA from 1 species
CGAACGCUGACGGCGUGCUUACACAUGCAAGUCGCACGAGAAAGUUCGCCUUCGGGUGAAUGAGUAAAGUGGCGCACGGGUGGGUAACACGUGGGUAAUCUGCCUUGGAGUCCGGAAUAACACUGCGAAAGCGGUGCUAAUACCGGAUAAGCUCACGGUUUUAAUACAGUGGGAAAAGAUGGCCUCUGUUUCGAGCUAUCGCUUUAAGAUGAGCCCGCGUACCAUUAGCUUGUUGGUGGGGUAACGGCCUACCAAGGCGACGAUGGUUAGCUGGCCUGAGAGGGCGGCCAGCCACACUGGAACUGAGACACGGUCCAGACUCCUACGGGAGGCAGCAGUGAGGAAUAUUGCGCAAUGGGGGAAACCCUGACGCAGCGACGCCGUGUGAGUGAUGAAGGUUUUCGGAUCGUAAAGCUCUGUCAGAUGGGAAGAAUAAGGGCAUGGAAAAUAUUCAUGUCCGAUGACGGUACCAUCAGAGGAAGCACCGGCUAACUCCGUGCCAGCAGCCGCGGUAAUACGGAGGGUGCAAGCGUUGUUCGGAAUUACUGGGCGUAAAGCGCGUGUAGGCGGACAUGUAGGUCAGUUGUGAAAUCCCCUGGCUCAACCAGGGAACUGCUUCUGAAACCAUAUGUCUUGAGUACGUCAGAGGAGAGUGGAAUUCCCAGUGUAGAGGUGAAAUUCAUAGAUCUUGGGAAGAACACCGGUGGCGAAGGCGGCUCUCUGGGGCGAUACUGACGCUGAGACGCGAAAGCGUGGGUAGCAAACCAGGAUUAGAUACCCUGGUAGUCCACGCCGUAAACGAUGUGCACUAGGUGUUGGAAGUAAUUAAACUUUCAGUGCCGCAGCUAACGCAUUAAGUGCACCGNCUGGGGAAUUCGGCCGCAAGGCUAAAACUUCCAAGGAAUUGACGGGGGCCCGCACAAGCGGUGGAGUAUGUGGUUUAAUUCGACGCAACGCG